AUGAGAAAAUGACCUUUUAAAAUUCAAAUUAAAUGUAUCUAGACACGGCCUAAGAAAAAUCGUGGGUGCCGUUUUCUCUAGAGCAGAGAGGAUCGUGCCACCGUACAAGUAGCAAUUCGCUGCCUGAACUCAUGUCAUGGUAUCUGAAUUUGAUGCAAACUGCACAAUUAUUGUACUACCAUUUUCUAUAAACAUAAAUCAGUAGUUAAUAAUCCAAAUACUAUACAUUCAAUUGAACCUGCUUAAGGGCACGUACAACGCGGGUCUGUAUGCCGUCUGCAAGAGGGAAGUUUUGCAAAAAAACUCCCCGGCGCAGCGAGGCGACGAGGGCGCCAUCGCCUCGCGAGACGACGGCCCCGGCUCGUGCUCCGAUGGCUUGCCGCCCGCUCGUCUCGCGCUGUACGGUGCCACCUCCACUUGCCGACGGUGCCUGCGAUCCCAUGCUCUAGCCUCUAGUUCCCUAGCCGCGCGCCCCAUCCUUGGCGGAAAUAUUCCUGCUCGCGCGUCCUUCUCUGUCCUCUUUCCAUCCCCUCCCCACCACCAAAUCACACACUGCAGCGGCGGCGGCGGCGCGGGAGCUCCUUGCUGCGUUGGCAGUGGCGGCGACAGCAACCACGACGGCGGUGCGGGGUAGGAAGGCCGCGAUGACGGCCAGUGCCGGAGGCUGGAAUCACUGGCAGGGGGGCUGCUUCAUCCUCUUCUUCCUCCCGCCCCCCUUUCUUCUUCUUCUCUCCCUUCUUUCCUCUUCUUCUCCCUCCUCCUCUCCUCUAAUUUCCAUGGAGUUCAUGGGGUAGGGGGGCUUGAGCCCCCCUUGCCCCCACGCUGGAUCCGCCCCUGAUGACGGCGUAGGAGGUGAGCGGAGCUGCAGAUGGUGAAGACCUCCCAUCAGCACCACGCCUUCCUUCUUCUCCGGCCACCAAGCUUAUCCGCGCCCCCAAGAUCCACCGGGGGCCCUAGCUUCGCUGCCGUCCCAAGGUCCAUCAGCGGUCCAAACUUCUACGCCACCACCCCAAGGUCCACCCGUGGCUGAACUUCUCUAGCGGCACAAGCUCGAUGUCAUCCUUCAACAUGGCAAGUGCCCAAGCUUUACUGAUUUGAUUGAUGCAUAGGUGGUUAUCUGUUUUUCUUGAAUAUUUAGGUACUCCACAGUGCAUAGGUGAUCGGAACGGAAGACUUUAGGCAAGGAUCUGAAGAUUUAGUUUUGAUUUUCAGGCCAAUACCACCAAGAAGAUCGUGCUGAUGCUGCAGUUCAAUUUUAACUGUGAACUGAAGAAGUGCAACAAGUGCAUGUCUAGGAAAUGGAUUGCUGAAUCAUUGCUUUUUAUAUUCCAGACAGCUGAUUCAUUGCCUGUAUAGUAAAAUUUCAAUCUUUGUAGUGUCCUGAUAUUAUGAUUACUUGAAGGAUAGCCUUAUUUCUAUUGCUGGACAUUCUACAGGACUGAUGUUCUCUGUUUCAAUUUAAUUUGUGAGGGAUAGCCAACUGUUAGCUGCUGCUUGUAUGAACCUGUAGUAUACCAAUCCAAGAGAUUCAUAGCUCACAA